rnacentral:tRNA from 1 species
CAGUGGCUCAGUGGUAGAGCGUCUGUCUUGUAAACAGAAGGUCUCGAGUUCAAGUCUCGGC